rnacentral:rRNA from 1 species
AUUGAACGCUGGCGGCAGGCCUAACACAUGCAAGUCGAACGGUAACAGGAAGAAGCUUGCUUCUUUGCUGACGAGUGGCGGACGGGUGAGUAAUGUCUGGGAAACUGCCUGAUGGAGGGGGAUAACUACUGGAAACGGUAGCUAAUACCGCAUAACGUCGCAAGACCAAAAAGGGGGACCUUCGGGCCUCUUGCCAUCGGAUGUGCCCAGAUGGGAUUAGCUAGUAGGUGGGGUAACGGCUCACCUAGGCGACGAUCCCUAGCUGGUCUGAGAGGAUGACCAGCCACACUGGAACUGAGACACGGUCCAGACUCCUACGGGAGGCAGCAGUGGGGAAUAUUGCACAAUGGGCGCAAGCCUGAUGCAGCCAUGCCGCGUGUAUGAAGAAGGCCUUCGGGUUGUAAAGUACUUUCAGCGGGGAGGAAGGGAGUAAAGUUAAUACCUUUGCUCAUUGACGUUACCCGCAGAAGAAGCACCGGCUAACUACGUG